rnacentral:tRNA from 1 species
GGGGUGGCCGUGCCGGCCAGAGGCGUGAAUGUGAAAAGCAACGGUCGAAAGAAGCGAGUCUCUCACUGGCAUGGUAUUCCUAAACCGUGGGUCGGGAGUUCGAAUCUCCCCAGGCCUACCA